AUUGAACGCUGGCGGCGUGCCUAACACAUGCAAGUCGAGCGGUAACAGGUGUAGCAAUACAUGCUGACGAGCGGCGGACGGGUGAGUAAUGUUUGGGAAUCUGCCUAUUAGUGGGGGACAACCCGGGGAAACUCGGGCUAAUACCGCCUACGAUCUACGGAGGAAAGCCGGGGAACGCAAGGCAUGGCGCCAGGAGAUGAGCCCAAAUUGGAUUAGCUAGUUGGUGAGGUAACGGCUCACCAAGGCGACGAUCCAUAACUGGUUUGAGAGAACGACCAGUCACACCGGAACUGAGACACGGUCCGGACUCCUACGGGAGGCAGCAGUGGGGAAUAUUGGACAAUGGGCGAAAGCCUGAUCCAGCGACGCCGCGUGGGUGAAGAAGGCCUGCGGGUUGUAAAGCCCUUUCGGUGGGGAUAAAAAGCCUUGGUUUAACACACCAGGGUCUUGAUCUAACCCAAGAAAGAAGCACCGGCUAACUCUGUGCCAGCAGCCGCCGUAA
rnacentral:rRNA from 1 species